rnacentral:rRNA from 1 species
CCUACGUGAGGCUGCAGUGAGGAAUAUUGGUCAAUGGGCGCGAGCCUGAACCAGCCAAGUCGCGUGAGGGAAGACGGUCCUAUGGAUUGUAAACCUCUUUUGUCGGGGAGCAAAAGACGCCACGCGUGGGGUUCCGUGAGUACCCGAAGAAAAAGCAUCGGCUAACUCCGUGCCAGCAGCCGCGGUAAUACGGAGGAUCCGAGCGUUAUCCGGAUUUAUUGGGUUUAAAGGGUGCGUAGGUGGAUUGUUAAGUCAGAUGUGAAAGUGAGAGGCUCAAACGUAUAAUGGCAGUUGAAACGGGUAGUCUUGAGUGCAGUAGAGGUGGGCGGAAUGCGUGGUGUAGCGGGGAAAUGCUUAGAUAUCACGAAGAACUCCGAUUGCGAAGGCAGCUCACUGGACUGCAACUGACACUGAGGCUCGAAAGUGUGGGUAUCAAACAGGAUUAGAUACCCUUGUAGUC